ACGAACGCUGGCGGCGUGCUUAACACAUGCAAGUCGAACGAAGCUUGAUUACGGAUUCUUCGGAUGAAGUAUGAUAUGACUGAGUGGCGGACGGGUGAGUAACGCGUGAGUAACCUGCCCUUCAGAGGGGGAUAGCGUUUGGAAACGAACGGUAAUACCGCAUAAUGUAUUUUGACCGCAUGAUCGAAAUACCAAAGAUUUAUCGCUGAAGGAUGGACUCGCGUCUGAUUAGGUAGUUGGUGGGGUAACGGCCUACCAAGCCGACGAUCAGUAGCCGGACUGAGAGGUUGAUCGGCCACAUUGGGACUGAGACACGGCCCAGACUCCUACGGGAGACAGCAGUGGGGAAUAUUGCACAAUGGGCGCAAGCCUGAUGCAGCAACGCCGCGUGAAGGAAGACGGUUUUCGGAUUGUAAACUUCUGUUCUUAGUGAAGAAUAAUGACGGUAGCUAAGGAGCAAGCCACGGCUAACUACGUG
rnacentral:rRNA from 1 species